GGUGCCGUCCACGCUGUGUCAGCACGCGGGCCUUGACGUCACAGUCGUCUUAGCGUUCCAGCGAGUGAGGUCCGGGGAGGCAGCUCAGCUGCCGUGAGUCUGCCUAAGUGAAGUCGGCCUCUGCCUCUCUCCACUUUCGCUCACCGGGGACUCUGGGCACCUACGGAGCCGGACACCGCGACACGAUAUCUGCUGUGGCUUGAGAAAGCCAUAGAAGAUGGCCUAAGUGCUUGGGCCUGUGCACCCUCAUGGAAGACUGGGAAGAAGCACCUGGCUCAGAUGCUGGCUUCAGAUCAACACAGCUCUGGCUGUUGUGGCCAUUUGGGGAGUGAAUCAAUGAAAAGAAGACCUUUCUCUCUGCCUCUCCCUCUGUUUGUAACUCUACCUCUCAAACAAAUAAAUAAAAACUUAUAAAAAGA